rnacentral:rRNA from 1 species
AUUGAACGCUGGCGGCAGGCCUAACACAUGCAAGUCGAACGGUAACAGGAAGCAGCUUGCUGCUUUGCUGACGAGUGGCGGCCGGGUGAGUAAUGUCUGGGAAACUGCCCGAUGGAGGGGGAUAACUACUGGAAACGGUAGCUAAUACCGCAUAACGUCGCAAGACCAAAGAGGGGGACCUUAGGGCCUCUUGCCAUCGGAUGUGCCCAGAUGGGAUUAGCUAGUAGGUGGGGUAACGGCUCACCUAGGCGACGAUCCCUAGCUGGUCUGAGAGGAUGACCAGCCACACUGGAACUGAGACACGGUCCAGACUCCUACGGGAGGCAGCAGUGGGGAAUAUUGCACAAUGGGCGCAAGCCUGAUGCAGCCAUGCCGCGUGUAUGAAGAAGGCCUUCGGGUUGUAAAGUACUUUCAGCGGGGAGGAAGGGAGUAAAGUUAAUACCUUUGCUCAUUGACGUUACCCGCAGAAGAAGCACCGGCUAACUCCGUG